GGAUAAAGAAGAAAUUUGAAUAAAUAAGAGAUUUGGGGUAUGUGUAUAGGAUCAUGACCUAUGGAUGCGAUUUGAUUUCCUUAACAAAAUGUGAUUAAUUGGGAUCACCCACAGAAUUGGAAUAAUAAACGCGCUGUAAUCGAAUUGGUGUGGGUCGUGGGGGCAUCUUCAGGAUUUCAAAAUACUGAAAUAGUUAUUAAGGACCAGGAAUUAAAAGGUACGUAUCCUGUGGACCGAAAAUAGAAGUUCCGGUCAAUAGGGAUUAUUUGUUAUAGCACGGUCAUCAGGAGGACUGAGAAAUAAUAACUACUAUAAUUU
rnacentral:lncRNA from 1 species